rnacentral:ncRNA from 4 species
AAGUCGUAACAAGGUCUCCGUUGGUGAACCAGCGGAGGGAUCAUUACCGAGUUUACAACUCCCAAACCCCUGUGAACAUACCUUAAUGUUGCCUCGGCGGAUCAGCCCGCGCCCCGUAAAACGGGACGGCCCGCCAGAGGACCCAAACUCUAAUGUUUCUUAUUGUAACUUCUGAGUAAAACAAACAAAUAAAUCAAAACUUUCAACAACGGAUCUCUUGGUUCUGGCAUCGAUGAAGAACGCAGCAAAAUGCGAUAAGUAAUGUGAAUUGCAGAAUUCAGUGAAUCAUCGAAUCUUUGAACGCACAUUGCGCCCGCUGGUAUUCCGGCGGGCAUGCCUGUUCGAGCGUCAUUUCAACCCUCAAGCCCCCGGGUUUGGUGUUGGGGAUCGGCUCUGCCCUUCUGGGCGGUGCCGCCCCCGAAAUACAUUGGCGGUCUCGCUGCAGCCUCCAUUGCGUAGUAGCUAACACCUCGCAACUGGAACGCGGCGCGGCCAUGCCGUAAAACCCCAACUUCUGAAUGUUGACCUCGGAUCAGGUAGGAAUACCCGCUGAACUUAA